GCAUCUGACACUGGCCACACUCAGAGGACAAGAUACUGGGCCAGAUGGACCAUUUAUUUGCCCCAGUAUGGCUGUGCUUAUGUUCUUAAGGGAGAGAGAUGAAGGUAUUUGGAGAAAAAGAUGAAUUUUCAACAUCGUUUGAAAAGGCAGACAGGGCAAAUGAUUGCUCAACAAUAAAGAACUGACCUUCCCAAAUACUGGUACUGCUGGGACAUAUAGUGUAAGCAUAAUGUGACCUGGUGCUGUCUGCAUAUGUAAGCUACUACAGCUUGGUUGAGGAACUAUUGUGUUGUAACACUAUCCUCUAACACGGUAGGACUUGCUGUGUAAUUCAAAAACUAAAGAGGUAAUGUAAAUAGCUUAUUGACUGCACUUAUACUCUUUGUCUGAAGAUGGCAGCAUAUCCCUGACUGUAUGAAC